ensembl:lncRNA
AAGUCUGACAGGCUUGAAGAAGUCUGGGCAUUAUUUGGACAAAGCCCUCAGGCACAGGGUGUGAUUCUUGGGGAUGUCCUGUCCAGGGCCAGGAUCUGGACUUGAUGAUCCUGAUGGGUCCCUUGAGCUCAGCACAUUCUGUGAUUCUGUUGGAAUACAGUCAGUGGUAAAUUGGACAAGUUAGGGCACAGGUAGAUUUAGUGCAAGCAGUAGAGAGGCCCUGAAGACUCAGGGAUAACAGAGAACACAGCAGUCAUUUGCUACACACCUAAUGCAAAUGCUAGAAUGGGUCUGUUGCAACAACUCCACCUAUUCAAUCAUUUGAAUAAUUUGAGGCAUUUGGCUUCCUUACCCUUUCAGAAGCAGUCUGAGUGCUGCUUUUGCUGACAGCCAUUCAUUCACGUGUCUCUUCAGGACAGCUCAUGAAUCUGCUUGCACCUCCUUAGCUCCCAGAUUGCUCAGUUGUUUGGGGCUGUCCCAGCGGACAGCAUCCCUUGGAAGGCCACAGGGAGGUGUGUGUGUUUUGCUCAGAUCCUGAACAGCCAAAGGGGCUCCUCACGUUGCAAGGCAGCAGCCAGGUGCCACAAGGAACCAGCUCUCAGGCCUGGAUUUAUGCAUUUCAUCAGCCAUCUACUUUGGAGAGGAAUGGCAUAAAUUUCAACACAUCUGCUAUUUUUGCCUGCAAAAUAUUCAAAAUUGUUUCUGCAGAAGCUACGGGCAGCAGUGGGGGACAUUUAUUUAAAGAAACUUGGAACAAUGGAUCACUAGUGAUUAAAAUAAAAAUGGAAAUUACAUUCUGGAUGUAGGAGGCAAAUGAGUAUUGCAUUUACAAUACUCUGGCAUUUAGCAUAUAUGAACCAUCAUUGAAUAGUUGCAUUUUGGAAAUUUUGAAACCUGGUUGUCUUUUGAAAAAUGCAGAUUCAAGCUUCUCAUUUUAUGCUAAUGUGAAGAGGUAAAGGAGAAUACCAGUUUGUUGAAACAAGUGAAUUAGCAUGUGAAUGGCGCAUAUUGGACUUCUCCCUCUUGAAAUGGAGGCUUUCAAAGUACAAAGUAGGAUUUAAAUCUCACACUGUGAUUUUUCCCUUCUCAGAGCCCCAAAUCAUGUUACUUGUAGUGCAUUAAUAGGCUUUGAGCCUGUACCCCAUCGACUAGAGGUGCUGUCAUUUUUACUAAUAGCCAUAAUCUACAAAUCUUGCAAUCAAUGAAACAACCUGUUUUCUCUCCCCAUUCCUAAUUCUUCUUUUGGAUCUCACUUUCAGUUUUCAGAGCUGAUGGUUAUGAAAACAUUUCCAAAGUAAGAAUGUGAAUGGCAAGCCGGCCUGGACUCUCUCCUUCCUCAUCAAAUCCUUUUUUUUCUGAGGACUGCACUGUCAGCCUUGCCAGAGAGGUUUGCCUUCAGUGCUGAUUUACUCCUUGCAAAUAAGAUGGGCUUGCAGCAAUAUAUUGCUGACAAAGCUAGGCUGCAGUGACACAGGAGAAUUAGUGCUGCUAAAGAGAAGAGACUUGGGGAGGUAAUUUCAGGAAUGUUUCCAGCACCUGAGUGACUAAAAUCUCACAGCUCAAACAGCCUAAUCCCAUGCUGCAACAAGUCAAGCCACCAUAAGCAGACUCUGACAUUUUUUGCUCAUGUGAAGUAGAAACUCAGGAAUCUCUGCUGUGAUUGAAGUUCCCCAAUGAAAGCAAAUUUCUGCCUUCUAAGAUCCUCUCCUUCCUCUUCCCCACCUCCAUUCCCGCAAAUUAGCCAUUGUAACACAGCCUGCUCUUCAAAUACCUGCUUGUGUUUGUGUGAUGGAGUGCACGUUUGCCUUCCUUCAUUGCAUUUUACUUAUCUCUGAUUAAUGAUUAAAGCAAAACCUUUGUAGCUGGUUCUAAGUGCCUCUGUUAGCAAAGAAGGGAGCUUGCAGUUAGUAAUGACACCAGAGCUGGACCACUCUGGGCUGCUCUCAAGCCAAGUCCUGCAAAUAUCACUUGGCAAGAUGCUCCCUGCCUCUCCCAGCCUGCUUUUAUUUGCAAUUAUAUUCACAUUAUUUUUAACAUAACAUUGUAUUUGACAAUAACAUGGAGAUGCUUUGGUUUUAGUUCUCUUAUUUUUGGGGGUAAUGGCUGUCUUAUGAAGUAACAGUAGUCUGAGCUCUGUAGCAACUGGAUGUGCCUAUUGCAAUAUCAGAGAGUGGUGGCUAACAUCCCCUGGUGCUGCACUGCCAGUUGGAAAGGCAGCAGAGGUGCAGUUAUAUCAGGCUGCUUUAAAGGCUGUAAGACUCUUCUUUCUGCUGGCAAUGCCAGUGUUUGCCCUUCUGAUUAAAUCACUACCCUUCAAUGCAAUAGCUGCUUUGCUCCACAGGGAAAAGGUAAGUCACUCAACAAAACAAGUGUUCACAGUCAUACGUUUACAAAGGUUGUUUAUUUUUGUUUGUUUUUAAAAUGGAUGUAUAGUUGUCUUACUGCUCUACUGGGCAAUAAAGGUUUCCUAAGCAGUUCA